rnacentral:rRNA from 1 species
UACGAAGGGGGCUAGCGUUGUUCGGAGUUACUGGGCGUAAAGGGCGCGUAGGCGGCGCAUCAAGUCAGGCGUGAAAGCCCUGGGCUCAACCCGGGAAUUGCGCUUGAGACUGGUGUGCUUGAGUACGGGAGAGGAUAGUGGAAUUCCCAGUGUAGAGGUGAAAUUCGUAGAUAUUGGGAAGAACACCGGUGGCGAAGGCGGCUCACUGGCUCGUAACUGACGCUCAGGCGCGACAGCGUGGGGAUCAAACAGG